rnacentral:rRNA from 1 species
AUUGAACGCUGGCGGCAGGCUUAACACAUGCAAGUCGAGCGGAGCGGCGGACGGGUGAGUAAUGUCUGGGAAACUGCCCAGUAGCGGGGGAUAACUACGCGAAAGCGUAGCUAAUACCGCAUACUAUUGGAGCGGCCAAUAUCGGAUUAGCUAGUUGGUGGGGUAAAGGCCUACCAAGGCGACGAUCCGUAACUGGUCUGAGAGGAUGAUCAGUCACACUGGAACUGAGACACGGUCCAGACUCCUACGGGAGGCAGCAGUGGGGAAUAGUGGACAAUGGGCGAAAGCCUGAUCCAGCCAUGCCGCGUGUGUGAAGAAGGUCUUCGGAUUGUAAAGCACUUUAAGUUGGGAGGCGUUACCAACAGAAUAAGCACCGGCUAACUUCGUGCCAGCAGCCGCGGUAAUUC